AUGUCGAUGGAUCGGGAGAAGGAGCGGGAGGCGGAGCUGGAGGGCGCCAUGUACACCAACUGCCUCCUCCUCGGCCUCGAUCCCGCCGUCCUCGGCUCCCCCGCCGGCGCCGGCGCCGCCCCCGCGCGCGUCGGCCUCUUCCGCCACUCCAACCCUCGCCUCGGCGAGCAGCUCCUCUACUUCCUCCUGUCCUCGCUCCGCGGCCCCGCGCAGUCCGCCAAGGACUUCGACAAGGUGUGGCCCAUCUUCGAUUCCGCGCAGUCCAGGGAGUUCCGCAAGAUCGUGCAAGGCGUCAUCAGCGAGCUGGAGCAGCAGGGGGCGCUGCCGCGGAGCAACUCCAGGGUUUCGUCCCUCGCCACCUGCUGCGGGCCGAGGUUCGUUGAGCUUUUGUGGCAGCUCUCUGUCCAUGCCUUGAGGGAGGUCCACAGGAGGACGUUUCCGGCUGAUGCGGCAUCAAAUCCACUGCCGGCGGCGCUCACAGAUGUCUCUUAUCUUCAUGCUGCUGCAUUGCUUCCUGUAACCAAGGCAAGGAUUGCUCUCGAGAGGAGAAAAUUUCUAGAAAAUGCAAAUAUUGCUGUUCAAAGGCAAGCAACCUGGUCCAAUUUAGCACAUGAAAUGACUGCUGAAUUCCGAAGUCUAUGUGCUGAAGAGGCAUGUCUGCAGCAGGAGUUAGAGAAGCUACAAGUUAUGAGAAACAAAGCCAAGCUAGAGGGGGAGCCGUGGGACGAACGCAUCUCAAGCUCGUCUGGACAGAAUUCACAUUUGGUAUCUAAGGCAACACGUUUGUGGGAAUCGAUAUUGGCUCGCAAAGACCAGCAUGAGGUUUUAGCUUCCGGUCCAAUUGAAGAUCUUAUAGCUCAUCGUGAGCAUAGGUAUCGUAUAUCUGGAUCGCAGUUGCUAGCAGCAAUGGAUAUGGGUUCAAGUUUGGACAAGCAGGAGCAGAUAUCUUUGUUCCAGGGAAAGGAAGAAGCCCUUUCAAGAUUGGAUGAUAGGAAUGGGCGUGCCCAACAAACUGUUGACGUAGCUGAAAUUCUUCGACGGUGGACUCAUGCUUUGCAGCGUAUUCAUAAACAAUCUCUUCAUUUGGCCAAAGCAAAUGAUGGGGAGGGGCCAGAAUUACUCCGUAGUGCGUCUGACGGCGAAAGUAGUAGCCAUGCUGACUCAUUAACUGCAACACUGGCCGAACAUCGCCAGCAUUUAGUCAGUAUACAGGGCCUAAUUAAUCAACUCAAGGAAGCUAUUCCAGCAAUGCAGCAGUCAAUAGCAGAACUUUCAGAAGAAGUGAAUAGUGUACCUAGUAAUCCAAUGGAUCAAACAAACUCCAGACAGUUAUCUGUGCAAAAUACAGUGCUUGGAAGAUCAGAAGAAAGCAGCAGCGAAGUUUCAGAGAUGACUUCUAAGCUCUCUUCAAUGCGCAUUGACAAGGCUGGGAGUAGUCCUGCUCUGAAGCUUCCUCCUUUAUUUAGCCUGACUCCAAGUUCUUCUGGAAAAGGAACACAGACACAAAGACGGAAUGCCCUAGCACGGCAACCUAGCAAAGAAAUUAUGCCGGAAGAGAAAGCACUUAUUGACCUCUCAACCAAAGAUCAAGCAAAUGGUUCAGUGCACGAAAAUGAUGGUUAUUUUGCCCAUGACAUCAGACGUUCUGUUCGUGAAGCUGCUCUGUCAAAGCCAUUGAGCAGCAGGGAGAGUGCACAGGACAAGAGUAGUGACGAUGGUUCAGAGCACUUUUUCAUUCCCCUAUCAACAGUUGCUUCAAGGAAGGAUGUGGGUGCUGUGGCAAAUCGAAGAAAACAAAGGACAGGUCUACCGUCGUCACAGCCGAAGUUGCCCAAGAGCACAGGUGAUCCUUACUUCAAUCCUGACAGCCCAAUGCCUGCAGUCCCAGCUCUGUCAGGUAAACUGAAUGGUUAUGAUGAUCCAAGCAGUGCUACAAACUUAUUUGAUCCAGUCAGUAGUCAAUCGUUUAUGACGGAUGAUGCUCUUGAUCAAGUGUUCUCCCCGCCACUUAUGUUGGAGCCUUCCUUGUUCCACGACACGUACGCGUACGAGGACUUGCUUGCACCAUUAUCAGAAACUGAUGCGGCUUUAAUGGAACAUUAG
rnacentral:rRNA from 1 species